GACGAACCGUCCAACCGUUAUUCGGAAUCACUGGGCUUAAAGGGUGCGUAGGCGGCGCGGAAAGUUGGGUGUGAAAUCCCUCGGCUCAACCGAGGAAUUGCGCCCAAAACUUCCGUGCUCGAGGAAGAUAGAGGUGAGCGGAACUUAGGGUGGAGCGGUGAAAUGCGUUGAUAUCCUAAGGAACACCGGUGGCGAAAGCGGCUCACUGGAUCUUUUCUGACGCUGAGGCACGAAAGCUAGGGUAGCGAACGGG
rnacentral:rRNA from 1 species